CUGCGGCGGCCUACACAUGCCAGUCGUAACAAGGUAACCACUACUUGUACCUGGUGGCGAGCGGCGGACGGGUGAGUAAUGCCUAGGAAUCUGCCUGGUAGUGGGGGAUAACGCUCGGAAACGGACGCUAAUACCGCAUACGUCCUACGGGAGAAAGCAGGGGACCUUCGGGCCUUGCGCUAUCAGAUGAGCCUAGGUCGGAUUAGCUAGUUGGUGAGGUAACGGCUCACCAAGGCGACGAUCCGUAACUGGUCUGAGAGGAUGAUCAGUCACACUGGAACUGAGACACGGUCCAGACUCCUACGGGAGGCAGCAGUGGGGAAUAUUGGACAAUGGGCGAAAGCCUGAUCCAGCCAUGCCGCGUGUGUGAAGAAGGUCUUCGGAUUGUAAAGCACUUUAAGUUGGGAGGAAGGGCAUUAACCUAAUACGUUAGUGUUUUGACGUUACCGACAGAAUAAGCACCGGCUAACUCUGUGCCAGCAGCCGCGGUAAUACAGAGGGUGCAAGCGUUAAUCGGAAUUACUGGGCGUAAAGCGCGCGUAGGUGGUUCGUUAAGUUGGAUGUGAAAUCCCCGGGCUCAACCUGGGAACUGCAUUCAAAACUGUCAAGCUACAGUAUGGUAGAGGGUGGUGGAAUUUCCUGUGUAUCGGUGAAAUGC
rnacentral:rRNA from 1 species